AUGAGGUGCUUGCACCUUAUCUUAGCGGCGGACGGGUGAGUAAUGCUUAGGAAUCUGCCUAUUAGUGGGGGACAACAUUCCGAAAGGGAUGCUAAUACCGCAUACGUCCUACGGGAGAAAGCAGGGGAUCUUCGGACCUUGCGCUAAUAGAUGAGCCUAAGUCGGAUUAGCUAGUUGGUGGGGUAAAGGCCUACCAAGGCGACGAUCUGUAGCGGGUCUGAGAGGAUGAUCCGCCACACUGGGACUGAGACACGGCCCAGACUCCUACGGAGGCAGCAGUGGGGAAUAUUGGACAUGGGGGGAACCCUGAUCC
rnacentral:rRNA from 1 species